CAAACAUGCAUGAUGUUUCCCACUCCUAUGUGUCCUCCCAGGGUGCUUUGGCUUGGAGUGGGGCCUUUGCCACUCCUGACUUGUGAGUGUUACAUCCAGAAUAAUUAUUUUUUAUUCAUUUGUACUUAAUUUACUUUUUAACAAUAUUGCACUAGCAGUGCUGUGUAUAUCUUUUUUUGUCUCCUUUGUGGAUAUUUCGUAUGAACUUGUAUCUGUUUGCAAGUAUUGAUUUCUUAUUUUAUUUAAUCACAUUGCAGUUUGUGGUAUAUCAUAUCCUAAUUACUUGUUUAUACACCCUGUAUAUAUUGGAGUGAUAGUAUAACGGUAGAGAUUGUGGUUAAUGCACCAACGGUGAUUUUUCAUGAAGUCUGAGCACCAGCACUAUUCUAUCUUUGUAUACCAAUCAAUUUUAGUUUACACUAAAAUAAGAAAUGUAAAAAAUAUAGUUUGCAGCAUCUAUUAACCCCUUAACAUGGUUUUAACAAUUGCAAAUAAAUUGCUUGUAAAUGCUGUACUGACAACAGAACCAGAACCAUUAAAGCACUUGGCUCUGUUGAGCACCCCUGCAGCUGUGUGAGCCAGUAGGGAGCUCUAUAGAUCUCUCUGCCUAGCUCUGCGUUGCUCUCAAUUCACAUCCGGUUGGGCACAAAUCUCUGCAGUGUUCCCUGUGAGUCAGAUACCAGAAGGGAGCCCCUACAGCCAUCUGUACCUAGCCUUAGACCUGCCUGACAGCCCAUCGGACAACCCAGUUGCCUAAAAAUGCAGUAACUCAGGCCGGCCGCGGGGUACUAUUCCUCUGAUUAACGCUCAGUCAAAUCUUUUCUCGAAUGGCGAUUCUACUACAGACAUAGGAUCAGGGCGCUAUUUUGAUAGAUAGUGUGCUUGGAGACAAGCUAUCUGGGGAUACCAAAUGUGUUGGGGAUUAUUACUGUUUUCUUAAUGUUUUGGGGAUAUUUGUACCUAGGUGCCUUGGUGUCUGGAGGUUAAUUGGAUCAGCGGUACUUGAUCUGUUCAUCUAACAGACACAGAGUCGCCUGUGUGGGUUCACUAUUGUAUGAGUUAACGACCCCCUGCUGGAGGUCUGUGUCUAAAAGUGUGUGUUUAACCCAAUAAAGUGUUUGUGUUUUCGCCCUUCAUCAAGUCUUGACUGAUGUUUGGGUGGCUGCUAGAAUAUACAAGUUACUUUGCGGGAAAAGGAGAGAGGUUCUGGCUGAGAUACUCUGGUUGAGUUUUGGAGCUUUGCCACAGCUCUGUUUUACAUUUUGAUGCAGAAAAAAGGGGAAAUUGGGGGCACAUUCCCUAAUACUCUCCCCCCCCAAGAUGGCCGCCGCAAUUAUACCAUCCAAGAUGACCACCAUUCUUUAUCUUUAUUUUCACUAAAUUUACAGCAAUCAGUAGAUCAUUUCCCACUUGCUCUGGCUGUGUCUGUGUGUCCCACCUGCCCUCUGCCCCAGGACCUCCAUGUUCACUCAUCCAAGGCAGACGCCGGCCUAGCCGCCGUUUGUAUAGAUCGGAACUACAUUUCCCUAUAACCUUGCGGGCGAUCACCGAUGACACGGUUAGCUCGCACGUCACAUGACUCACUCUUGUACACUAAUUCUGACAGCUUAAACACUUGUUUUUAAGUAUAGUUGUAACGGAUCGCCUGGCACCCCAACUGGGUACCUCCGUUUGACGAAUGCUCCUAGUGUUGCCCGAGGGCUCCAAGCACUCCACUAGACCCCAAAACCACCGCAGACCCCACGAACCGCCGCAGCUUGGUUGGGGUCUCGCCGUCUUCUUCCUACUCUGGGCCCAAGACCAGGGAUCAGCUUCCAGUAGAGCAGGAACAGGAACAGGAACACACUCUUACAAAAGCUUACUCUGGGGAGUAUAGUGAUUAUAGCAAUCCCCAGAGUGUAGGUAAUUCUCCAAUUCCCCAAACAUGAGCCGAAACUUCAUGAAGGUACAAGAUGAUCUGUUUAUUGCGCACAAAGGCAUUUCUUUCAGACACAUUUUCUCAUGGAAGUCCCUUUUUAACAUGCCUUUUUGCAGGGCCCAUAGUCUUGGGGCAGAAAUAGUGUAUUAAAACCCCAUAAGCCCAAAUAGGGAUUUUAAAUGGCAAUAUCCCAAGGGGCCAUAGUCACAGGUCAAGAGGCUGGCAAGCAGGCCGCUCCAAACCCCAGUGACGAAGGUGCUUUGUCACAAUAGUUAUAUCUACUAAGGCUGCCAACAUGCAGGCUUUCAGGCUAUAUUGUUUCUAAACUUUUAUUAAAAUUAAUUUGAAUUAUGGAUUUAAUUGGAUAAUUGUUCAUGAUGUCAUUAUGACAUCACUUUUAAAUCAGUCUAUGCUUAUAUAAACCUCAGUUAGCCAGGAUGUAUGUUAUUCUCCAUUUGAAAAAAGCUUCCACAGGUAAAACGCAUUAUGGACUUUUAAUAUAUGUACUAAUAAAUGAAUGUUGGUCACUAUAUUUGCUUAUUGUGCCAAUUAUCUUCUAUUUAAUUCAUUACCUCCUGGCUUUUUACUUUAUUUCUACACUUUUAUAUUUAUUAUCUACAAAGAAAUCAUAGGUGGGGAUUAUUCCACCAACGCUUUAUUCAAAAAGCAGUUGGGCUACUCUACUUUUUUGAGUAUUAUUAAUUUAUCUACUUUGAGACCUAUUUUAUCCUACAGAGAGCACUAUCUGUUGCCUUUUAUCCUUGUUUUUUGAGUUCCUGGAAUUUCCCUAAAAGUUGAAAACAACUCUACUAUAUCCUGUAAAUGGGGAUUAUAUCACUGAACGGCCAAUAUGCUAGAACUGGCCAUAGCUCUAGAAAUUGGUUACAUUAAUUUAUUGCACCAUUGGAGUGUUUUCUGCUUUUUGUCAUUCUAUAUUCUGGAAUACACCAAGUGAUUUUAAGAAUUUACAUAUUUCCAAAGGACUCCUCUGCUUCAUCUAGAAUAUUACCACCUGAACUUACCUGUUAUCUAAAAGGGUACUAUUCAUCUAAGAACUAUUGUUUUGGAUUUAAUUUUAGUAUAUAGCUACCUAUAUUUUUUAUUACCUAUUCUCUCUCAUAUUGUAUGUAUAAAUCACUAUUUGAAGUAGCACAAAAUAAUAUUUUCGCACAGCCAAAGCUUCUGUAAUUUUUGUUUUCUCACAUUUACAAAGGGUUUGAGAUGUAUCCCUUUUCUUUUGGGUUGCUGCCUAGUCUAUUCUUUUUGUUAACUCGAGUUGGUUAUCCUGUUGUUUUUAUCUACACCCGGAAUAUGCAUUUCUCAACAGAAUUUAUACACAAUACAGAUUCAGGAACAGUGCAUGCACAAACAGUUUCAAAAUUAACAAGGCUACAUAAAAUCACCUAUCUCAGCAAACAAAUAUGGGGAUUCAGUUACGCAAUAUGGCCAUAUCGUGUUAAGCCCAGCACUACGUCACAGUACCCCAAUAUUUGUGGAUUCUACACUCAUUUUAACAUGGUAAACAAACAUCUACUUAAAUGGUGCAUGUGCUAUAUGAACUAAAGUGUAUUUAAUUAAUCUAUUGGAAGAGCAUUGUAAAUAUAUAUAAUGCAAAAUUAAUGUGAUAAAAAACUAUGAAAAAAUACAGAGUUAAAACUAAAUAAUUAAAGUGAUGCUUUUAUGUAUAUACUCACAAUGCAUAUCCUAUAUCUUCUCUAUAGUGAAUACAAAUAAUUAUUAUAGUGAAAUUGCUAUCCAAAACCAUCUCAAAUGUAUACUUUCCUGUGGUCACCUCCAAAGAUGCAUUUGAAGCAGAGGGGUGGGAAAGGGUUUUCCGCCCAAAAGAAACCUGGAACUCUAAACAUAGAUAGAAAAAAGGGAAUUGGGGGCACACCUAAAACAUGCAUUUUUCAGCAGUAGUGCAGCCAUGAAAUUAAAUUAGAAGCUGCUAUCAGGACUAUUCGUUGUGUAUAUAUACACGCAAUCCAUUGUAUAACGUACAUAUAUGGUGUUCAAAAUGAGCUUAAAUUUGAAUGUUGACUACAUAUAUAUUAUCACACACUAGCCAUAUGCAGUAUAUUAAGUUGAUUAUCUAAUGUCUUAAAUAAAUCUAUCUGGCUAUUUAUCUAUGUUAUGCAAACAUUUGCCAGGACUUUGCUCUAUUAACAUUCCUAGUGGACAAUUAACUAAUUGCAAGCAAAAUUGUGCACUUUAAAAGGGAUUCCCAGCGCAGGCAGCAUAUUCUCCAAGCCCAAAUUCAGGCAAACACAUGUCGGACCAAGAGUAUUUUUAGUUUGUUUUUAUUGUUUCUAUUUUUAACUUGUUUUAAGUAUAUUAAUAAAUUGACCAUAUAAUUUUCCAGUGAUAUCCUUUCUGCUGCCUGGUCCAUCCUUUAUCAAAGGGGAGUACACCACCCCAUAACUGCCUGGCACUUUGUGCUAUAGCCUAGAGAGAGUCUUAGUGGCUCUGUAUCAGGUGAGCUUUGCAAAGUGCCGUUUGUGUGUGAAAAAUUCAAAAAAUGUCCCUUUCACUGACGAUAUAAUCGUUGUGAUACGUUUUACUGUUUUUAAACACUAAUAUUUGUGUUCAGCAAAGUCUCUUGACAGUAAAACAGUACUCCCCAUGUAGAGGACUUAUAGUAUCUUGGAAAGUUACAGGAUUAAAAAUAGGGCUUGCGAAACAAAUUCUGUGGACUUUAAGCCUGGGUUGUCAGGCACGUCCCUCAAAUCUUAAUGAAUAAAAUUACUCAGGUAAAAAUAUUACAUAAAUAUAUACCUAGAAUUUAAAAAUAUAUAUAUAUAUAAAAAUCCAAAAUCUCUGGCACUCUUCCCCAAAAAAAUUCAAAUCAAUUUGAAAUCUGACCAGGGUGCUUCUCUGCUCAGUAUCUUUUUGCCACAGCAGAUGUCAAAAAUCUCUAUACCGUUCUACCACACAAGAAGGGUAUAGAAGCAAUGCGUAACCUACUGACACAGUCAGAAAUUUAUGAAGGACCUCCCAUCGAAUUUCUGCUUGAAGGUUUACAAUUAACUCUAUCAAACAAUUAUUUUCGUUUUGAAAACUUUUUUUAUAUUCAAGAGACCGGCACAGCGAUGGGAUCAGCAAUAGCCCCAACAUAUGCCAACAGUUUUAUGUUUGCAUAUGAAAACAUGUAUAUACUAUCCAAAUACAAUAAGUUGAUUCAAUAUCACAGAUUUGUGGACGAUAUUUUCAUUUUGUGGAAAGGCACGGUAAUAGAAUUGGAGAAUAUGAUAACUGAAUUAAAUAAUUUGGAUUCACCUAUCAAAUUAAGUCUUACAUACAAUACAGAGAAGAUUCAGUUUUUGGAUGUGGAAGUAUACCGGAACAACCAGAAUAUAGGAUAUAGAUUAUAUAGAAAACCAUCGGACCGUAACACCCUGUUACACGCUAACAGCUUCCAUUCCAAUGCUCUAAAAAAUCAAUUUUUGAGGAUGUUCAGAAACAAUUCAGAAGAUAUCACUUGUACAGCUCAACUUCAUGACAUGACUAUAUCUUUUUUGGAACGGGGAUAUAAGUGUAAUAUUCUACAGAGUUGCCUUGAGAAGGCUGAAAAAAUCUUUAAAGGAACAGAAACUAAACAAAGAACUGUUCCGACUAUCACGAUUCCUUUACAAUUCCAUUCAGAAAGCCAGAGGUUCCCACAAAGUAUUAAAAAGAGAUGGGACAUCCUCUCUUCAGACAAGUCACUUAAUACUAUUUUUUCACAACACCCGCGCAUUGCAUUUCAACGCAACAGAAAUUUAAAAGACAUUUUGGUGAAAACAGAUAAUAGCCCUCAGACAGAGAAUGUAAGGAAAGGUUGCUGUAAGAGUACAGGCUGUGUCACUUGUGGACACAUGCUGACAGGAUCUUCAUUUGCGCAUCCACAUACAGGUAAAAGGAUUCAGAUCAAACACCGGUUAACCUGUCUGAGUGACCAUGUGAUUUAUCUCAUUUCAUGCCCUUGUGGCAAGUAUUAUGUAGGCAAAACAGACAUGACAGUACGUGACCGUAUCCGAGGACACAGGUCAGGGAUCAUGACGGCUUUUCAAGAUGGAAAGACUGAGAAGCCUGUGGCGAAACAUUUCCUCGAAUUCCAACAUCGUUUGCCAACCCUAAAAUUUAUUGUGAUUGACCAUAUUCCACCAUUGGUCAGGUGUGGUGACAGAUCAAAGAUUUUAUUACAGAGAGGGACUUUCUGGAUUAAACAUCUGGACACAGUCCAACCGAAAUGACUUAAUGAAUACAAUUCAUUUAGUUGCUUUUUGAAUAUUCAUUAAAGUAUUUAACAUAAGUACAGAUUGUGGUAUAAGUAGUAAUUGUGUUUCUUUGAGUUUCUUCAUAAUAGUUACUGCAUUCGAUUAGUUGUGGUGAUUUUAUUUGUUUAGGCAGAUCACGAUUAUAUGUACACAUUGCAGAUUUAUAAUAGUAGGUCUUGGUUUCUGUUAGAGGUUCCAGUAUCAGACUCAUUAGGUGGUCGGUUUUUCACUUUCACUUCACACAUAUUUUCAACACUUAGACACAUUUGUUGCAUUAGGUUUUUCACGGUGUGUUGUUUUAGGCUGUUCUCUGCCACUUCACACUCCUCUCACUUUUUUUCAUUACAUUUACAUUUAACACUUUCAUUUCACAUCAUAUCUACAUACAUAUCACUAUAUUGACAUUUCAUUACAUUGACAUUCACAUAAAUAUAUUAGAUUACAGUACACAGAGUUUGCACUUUAUACCGAGCGCCUUAUAGUUGUUUUACAUCAGAGUUUUAAGGUACACUGAUUACAUAUGUCAUUCUGCAUUCAUACAAUAGCUUUAAUAUUUCAGACUUAUUAUGAGAUUGUUUCCUCCAUGCAUGCUUUUAAUUCUCACGAUUCACAUUCACAAUGGCUUUGACGUUACUAGGCAACAUAUUAGGUUGGAAAUCACAUGACAUUAUGUCAUCACGCACGUAUGGGAGGACGCACUCAACGGCGUCUGACACAGGGAAUGUCGGAUCAAUGGGGUUCACUUGGUGAUUGGGUAAGUUUAACUUAUUGUAUGUUAUAUAUAUAUAUAUAUUUCACUUCUGCAUUGUUUUGGCAUCUUGAUAAAGACCGCUUGACGGUGGAAACGUUGAUUUGUUUGCUGACAAUUUAAUAUAAGCUUUAUUUAAAUCCAGUGAGUGCUCUCAUUUUUUUGGAUUGUAUAUAUAUAUAUAUAUAUAUAUAUAUAUAUAUAUAUAUAUAUAUAUGGAUUUUUAUUUUAAAUUAUUUUCAUUUAUGUAUAGAUAUAUAGAGAGAGAUAUAUACAUAUAUAUUUAUGUAUUUAGUUAUAUAUAUAAUUUUGUUCUCCUAAUCAAUUUAAUACAAUUUAUCUGAUUUCAGCCAUCACUUCAGCAUGUGCCAGGAGAGAUCCACAGCCCUGCUGCUCUACAGCUCCACUCAGCUCCAGCCAGAUAUGAUGCUACAGUUGGACUUCCUCCUCUGCCACCACCAAUCCCACGCACUGUGUUCUGUCAUGGAGAGAAUGCUCCAUAAAUCUGUGCUGAAGAAGAAGUAGAAAAAGUAUUGAUUGUGCAGAAUCAGAUACAGCAUGAGUGGACCUACUGUCUGCCCUAGUAUUUUGUCUUUCUGCUUUUUCCCUUAGUAAUACAGGUUCGUGGUAUAUCUGCA